rnacentral:lncRNA from 1 species
CACAUUCAUUUUGUAGAGACGCAGAUGCUACUGGUCAUCUUUUUCUUUUUUUCUCUCUAGUCUCCUAUUGAUGCUGCAAAUAUGUAAUGAGAAGCUGAAUGGGUGAUGCAAUUACUUAGCAUCUGUGUAAAGAUGGUGAGCAGAUGAAAAGCAUUUAAAGGUCUUGGCCCUUGGCAUAUGAGAGUACUGAUCAUCAAAUAUUACAUCCCACUCAAAAUGCUGUCUUGAGAAAUUGUUACGGGCGAGUUGCAUUACAGAAUGUGGCUUAAGUGAUGGUCAUAAAUAGCAGCAGAGACAGGUUGGGGCAGAUAUUCCACUGAUACAAACUCUUAGAUCCCUGCUGGAAUCAGUGCAUCAAUGGGAUGGUGGCAGCCUGUACCAAGCAGAGGUCUGCCACAGCAUCUGCAGAAAGAUGAGAGAGAUGCCAUGCAGAAAAACAAACCCCACCGAAGUUCUGGAGGGGUAGGAAUCAUGAGACUCACGGGAUUAUCUCAGAAGACGUCAGUAGCUGGAGUGAUCUAUUGUCUGGAACAGCAGUGCUCAUCUCUUCACAAUUUCAUGAAGUCAAAAAGGAGUCUAUGGUGGAUCACCGUCAUCCUCACUGAGCUGAAGAGAGUGGCCUGGUUCCUUCAUGUUGCUUACAUCUCUCAUUCCUCUUCUAGGCUAUGUUUCAGGACAGAUGACCUUCCAAAACACACUGUCUAUCUGGCCUGCUAACUGCUUGGAGUUAAGUUUUUGAAGAACUCUUCUUAUGGAAGUGGUGAGAGAGAGGGAUAUGUGCUUGGGUUUUACCUGAGGGGAACUGGGGUUCUUCCAGGUUGCAACAGCCAGACC